CAUUAAAGCGGUACGCGAGCUGGGUUCAGAACGUCGUGAGACAGUUCGGUCCCUAUCCGUCGUGGGCGUAGGAAAUUUGAGAGGAGCUGUCCUUAGUACGAGAGGACCGGGAUGGACAUACCUCUGGUGUACCAGUUGUCGUGCCAACGGCAUAGCUGGGUAGCUAUGUGUGGACGGGAUAAGUGCUGAAAGCAUCUAAGCAUGAAGCCCCCCUCAAGAUGAGAUUUCCCAACUUCGGUUAUAAGAUCCCUCAAAGAUGAUGAGGUUAAUAGGUUCGAGGUGGAAGCAUGGUGACAUGUGGAGCUGACGAAUACUAAUCGAUCGAAGACUUAAUCAA
rnacentral:rRNA from 1 species